CAAUAGCGUAUAUUAAAGUUGUUGCGGUUAAAAAGCUCGUAGUUGGAUUUCUGCUGAGGACGACCGGUCCGCCCUCCGGGUGAGCAUCUGGUUCGGCCUUGGCAUCUUCUUGGUGAACGUAUCUGCACUUGACUGUGUGGUGCGGUACCCAGGACUUUUACUUUGAAAAAAUUAGAGUGUUCAAAGCAGGCCAACGCAUUGAAUACAUUAGCAUGGAAUAAUGGAAUAGGACUUUGGUCUUAUUUUGUUGGUUUCUAAGGCCGAGGUAAUGAUUAAUAGGGAUAGUUGGGGGCGUUUAUAUUCCGUUGUCAGAGGUGAAAUUCUUGGAUUUACGGAAGAUAAACUACUGCGAAAGCAUUCGCCAAGGAUGUUUUCAUUAAUCAAGAACGAAAGUUAGGGGAUCGAAGAUGAUUAGG
rnacentral:rRNA from 1 species